GCAAAUAUAAUAUAUAAUAUAUUUAAUUUCCAAUUAAAAAAUUUAAAAUGUUAAAUUUAUUUUUUAGUA
rnacentral:tRNA from 1 species